GACGAACGCUGGCGGCGUGCUUAACACAUGCAAGUCGAACGGUGAAGCGCCUUCCUUUUUGGUGGGUGUGGAUGAGUGGCGAACGGGUGAGUAACACGUGAGUAACCUGCCCCCUUCUUCUGGAUAACCGCAUGAAAGUGUGGCUAAUACGGGAUAUUCUGGGUCUGUCGCAUGAUGGGUCUGGGAAAGAUAUUGUUUCGGUGGGGGAUGGGCUCGCGGCCUAUCAGCUUGUUGGUGGGGUGAUGGCCUACCAAGGCGGUGACGGGUAGCCGGCCUGAGAGGGUGGACGGUCACACUGGGACUGAGACACGGCCCAGACUCCUACGGGUGGCAGCAGUGGGGAAUAUUGCACAAUGGGCGCAAGCCUGAUGCAGCGACGCCGCGUGAGGGAUGGAGGCCUUCGGGUUGUGAACCUCUUUCGCCAGUGAAGCAGGCCUGCCUCGUUUGUGGGUGGGUUGACGGUAGCUGGAUAAGAAGCGCCGGCUAACUACGUG
rnacentral:rRNA from 1 species